GACGAACGCUGGCGGCGUGCUUAACACAUGCAAGUCGAACGGAAAGGCCCUGCUUUUGUGGGGUGCUCGAGUGGCGAACGGGUGAGUAACACGUGAGUAACCUGCCCUUGACUUUGGGAUAACUUCAGGAAACUGGGGCUAAUACCGGAUAGGAUCUCCUGCUGCAUGGUGGUGGUUGGAAAGUUUCGGCGGUUGGGUAUGGACUCGCGGCUUAUCAGCUUGUUGGUGGGGUAGUGGCUUACCAAGGCUUUGACGGGUAGCCGGCCUGAGAGGGUGACCGGCCACAUUGGGACUGAGAUACGGCCCAGACUCCUACGGGAGGCAGAAGUGGGGAAUAUUGCACAAUGGGCGGAAGCCUGAUGCAGCAACGCCGCGUGCGGGAUGACGGCCUUAGGGUUGUAAACCGCUUUCGCCUGUGACGAAGCGUGAGUGACGGUAAUGGGUAAAGAAGCACCGGCUAACUACGUG
rnacentral:rRNA from 1 species